rnacentral:rRNA from 1 species
ACUCAAAGGAAUAGACGGGGGCCCGCACAAGCGGUGGAGCAUGUGGUUUAAUUCGAUGCAACGCGAAGAACCUUACCAAGGCUUGACAUGGCAGUGAACGGCGCAGAGAUGUGCCUUUCUUCGGACACUGCACACAGGUGGUGCAUGGUUGUCGUCAGCUCGUGUCGUGAGAUGUUGGGUUAAGUCCCGCAACGAGCGCAACCCUUACGUUUAGUAGCUAACAUUAAGUUGAGCACUUUAGACGGACUGCCGUGGAUAACACGGAGGAAGGUGGGGAUGAGGUCAAAUCAGCAUGCCCUUUAUGCCUUGGGCUACACACGUGCUACAAUGGCUACCACAAAGUGACGCGAAGUCGCGAGACGGAGCAAACCACAAAAAAGUGGCCACAGUUCGGAUUGCAGGCUGCAACUCGCCUGCAUGAAGCUGGAAUCGCUAGUAAUCGCGAAUCAGAAUGUCGCGGUGAAUACGUUCCCGGGCCUUGUACACACCGCCCGU